GCUUUGGUUUCCAGGACCAGGGCUGCUCAGUGCUGAGUCCUUUCAGGACCUAAUAUCCAAAUUUUGUAAUUUCUUGGUUGUUUUCUCUCCCCUUCAAGGUCUCGGUCAUUCAUCGCCAGAGGAGGACGGUCCAGUCUUCUGUGCCAGAAGAUGCUCUGAAAAAGGCCCAGAGUCUCUUUGUUCAAGAGUGCAUUAAAAGCUACAGCUCAGACUGGAACGUCGUGAACUACAAAUAUGAGGACUACUCGGGGGAUUUCCGCAUGUUGCCUUGCAAAUCCUUUCGGCCGGACAAGAUCCCAAGCCACGUGUUUGAAAUUGACGAAGACUUUGAAAAAGACGAGGUGAGGAGGAGGAGAUUUUUGCCUAUUGCAACACACUCAGUUGUGACAUCUCUGCUUGGGCACACGCACCAAGUGUGCCCAUGUGUCGCACCUUGCCUCCCACUUUCUUUCCACACAUUUGUCCUG